AAGGUGACCUACGCAACUGGUUCCGCCCCCGCGGUUGUCGCGGGAUGUCGGACGCAAGAGGGAAUCCGGUGAGAAUCCGGAGCUGUCCCGCAGCGGUAUGCCGGAACGAAAGCCGUCAAAGGCACUGGGGUCGACGCCCCGGGAAGCGACGGCCGGUAGGCUCCGCCCACUUGGGCGCACGCCGGCGAGCCCGAAUACCUGCCCGUUGUGCCGGCUCAUC
rnacentral:ncRNA from 2 species